rnacentral:lncRNA from 1 species
AAUGUAUUCAACGCGGUUCGAUCGAUCGGUUUGGAGAGUCAAAUCAAGGUCUCAAUCGCCAUUGAUAUGACCUUGAUCGGUGUCUCGUAUCCUCCAUCGGCUGGUGCGUUUCGUGGGGACGUUAGGUCAUAUUUGGACCCUAUCAUAGGCCACUUAGCAUGGGCUAGAACACCCUUGCUUGCCAACAUUUACACUUACUUCAGCUAUUCAGGCAAUCCAAGGGAUAUCUCACUUCCAUAUGCUCUUUUCACUUCCCCUUCACCUAUUAUAUGGGAUCAAGGACGUGGAUACCAAAACCUAUUCGAUGCAAUGUUGGAUUCAUUAUACUCAGCUCUCGAGAAAGCCGGGCAAGGAGGGCUCGAAGUUGUGGUAUCAGAAAGUGGAUGGCCUUCAGCCGGUGGGUUCGGGACAUCGGUCGAUAACGCGGCCACUUAUCUAUCGAACUUAAUAAGACAUGUCCAAGGAGGUACCCCAAAGAGGCCAGGAAAAGCCAUAGAGACAUAUUUGUUUGCUUUAUUUGAUGAAAACUCGAAACCAGGUCCUGAGUUAGAGAGACACUUUGGGUUGUUUUCACCAAACAAGCAACCAAAAUAUCAACUUCAUUUUGGUGGAGGAAGGCAUUGGGAUAUUGCUUCUGAGGAAUAUAAUGGAACCUUUCCUCUUAAGUCUGAUAUGUAAAAUUUAUAAAGCCUGGGAAAUUUGGUCUUUUUAUUGGGUUUUUGUUUUUAUUAUCUUAUGUGUUUUCGUCUUAAAUAAGAGAAAAUCUCAUGGUGUUAAUUUGAUAUAAUUUUUAUUAUUAAAAGAGCAUUCAAAUAUUUCCAACUUUACAUCUAUAACCAUAUAUAUGUUGAAAUUAGAUUUCUAAAUGCUAACACGUUUGUAGCUGUUUUUUUUUUGUUUGGGUGGAUAGGGAAGUAGGAAAAAAAUUUCUAAUUAUUCAUCAGUCCCUAUACUUUUUAACUUUUGGAAUUUAAUCCCCUACUUGUUUAAUUUAAAAAUUAAAAUUCAAUUGAUAACAUUAUUAAUUAACUUUUGUAAAUUUGAAUGUGAGUUAUCAAUUGAAUUUUAAUUUUUAAAUCAAAUGUUUGAAUAUUAAAAUGCCACAUAUUCUAAAUCAAUCCAAUAAAAGUGUUACUAAUUCAUAUUUCGUCACAAAUUCCUUAUCUAAUAUUGUUUUCCUCGCAUUAUUAUAAAUCUAAAAGUCAAACAUGCUUAUUCAAUGGGUGUCAGAUCCCUCCAUAAUAGACUAGCAUAUAAUUCCUCAUUCUUCAAACAUACAUGAAUAUAUGCCCCAUGACUUUCUAGUACUUGGUAUCUUAAUUUGUCUUAAAUCAAUUUUAGAUUCCAUUAAAUAACAAAUAUCUGGAUUUGUGCAAAACAUUGUGCACAUAAGGUUUUACAAUCCUAAUCAUACACCUUCUUUUUCUCAUUUUCUUAUGACAAUAUUCUAAAGAAAGUUUAAACUUGCUAUAGAUAAACUUACUUGAAGUUUAUGCAAAGGCUUAAAAAGCCAAACUAGGGUUAGACCUAUAGUUUUCAGUUGAAGUGAUUGGUUCAUUUCAAUGAGAUCUCGUGUAAAUCCAAUAACAGAGAAAGUCCGGAUAACAAUUUUCGUUCAUAAUAUUCCAGAGACUAUGCAUUAGUAGGCUCUUUGGGCAUUGUUUCGGUAUCGUGGAGAUGUUAUUGACGCAUUCGUUCCAGUGAAAAGAAGCAAGAGUGGAAAAAGAUUUGGCUUUGUGAGAUAUAGUAGUAUGAUGGAUGCUAGAAGGGCCAUAAGUUAGUUAAAUGACUACGUGAUUUUAAGGAAUAUAUUAUUGGUGGACAUCAUCAAGUUUAAGGGGUUAAGAUAGAUAUGGAAAAUAGUUUCAGUGGAAGGAAAUUCAAAACAAAAGAAGAAUGAAAGAAAUGAAAGGGAGGAUUAUGAAAAGUUGCAAAAAAAAAAAGUAGAAUGAAAGUAGGGGAAAACUCUUUGAGAAAUAGCAACGACCUGAAAAAGACUGAAAAGGAGGACUGUAUGGCGAAUAAUAUCAGUAUAAGGGUUCAGGGACAUGUUGAAGAGGAGCAACUUUGAAAGCUUCCAAGAUGCUUGGUGGGUACAGCAACAAUGUGUUGUGAUACAAAAAGCUUAUUUGAAAGAAUGGUUAGGAAUGGAUUAGGGGAAAUUAAAAUUAGAAGAAUCCAAUGAAAGCACUUUUUGAUUGAACUACCAGACGUAGAAUUGUUCGAUGUAUUGAAACAGAACGACUGGGCGUACUUAAGAGAGAUUUUUAUUAUUAUCAAAAUUGAACCUUGGUCGAAGAAAACAAUGGCGGAGGAAAGAGUGUUGUGGAUUAAAGUGUAUGCAUCCCCCUACACUAUUGGAACUAUACUUCCUUCAAAAGGAUAGCUGCUGUAUGGAGAGAGUUAAUCUCUCUUGGUAAGAAUUCUACAUCGGUUAAAAGUUACGAUAAAAUGUCAAUGUUGGUAUCAAUCAAUUAGCCGAAAAGAAUAGAUGAGCUAAUCUAUAUAGAGGUGGGGAAGAUAAAUUUUCCUAUAAAAGUUUUUGAAAUGGGUUUAUCGAAAUCUUUAGGUGAUAACAGUAGGGACCAUGGUAUGAAGGGAAGUGAAGAAGAUGAAUCAAUAUAAGAUAGGGAAGACGCAUUCAUAUCAGAAUCUAAAUUGGCGAUAAGACUUGGAUCGAAAAAGGUUUUAAAGGAGAGACAAGGUUGGGAAAAUAAAGAAAUUAAUAUGUUUAUCCUUAAAAAAUCAAACGAUAACGGUGCAUGUCAGAACACAUUACAAAAUAUGUUAAGGUUGGAAGAGGAACAAUUGAGUGGAAUGAGGGCCAAACCUAGGUUGAGAGAGAAGGAUGAAAGUGGGUAUGGCAAUUGGGCUAUAGAAGAAGUAAGUAACAUGGGCUUUUCAGUAGUUGAAUUAGGACUGGAAAAUGUGGAGAGAGCCCAAGAUGAGCACAGAGAAAUUGAGGAGGGUGUGGGCUUGGUGGUAGAUUUGGACUUAUAGAUGGGCAAUUCCAAGGAGUUAGAGGGGGAAACCGGAUUGUAGUAUCCUUAUUGAAAGAACAAGAGUUUUGGUAGGGGGAGAAACAAACAGAGAAAAAAGGGUUUUAGAGGGGGAAUCUCCAAUUUUUCUUAAUCAGAAGAAACAAAAAACCCAUGGUUGAAAUAUUAGAUUGAUGUACGAAAUUCAAGAUAGAAUCCUUUCUGUAGUGGAGAAGAAGAAGAGAGAUCGGGCGUUGAGAAAGUAAAAAGGAAAAGGAAUCGCGUGUAGAGAGGAGGUCGUUGUUAACUCUUCUCUCUCGAAAUUUGACAUCAGCAAUAGAAAGAGAGUGAUUCUUCAGGAGGCCAAGAAUGUAUGGGAAGUGGGAAAAAACUUGGAUUCAGUGUUAGAGGCGACGAACGAGAAGUUGUGGAUGAGAUUAUGAGACUAGAAGAGAGGUAGAUCGAAGCAGCAAAAGAAAGAGCAAGGGUCUAUAGGUUAUUGUGCAGGUUAGUACCAAUUGUAAUAUAAUUUUAUACUAUAUGAGAGGUUUUUAGGGGGCAAAAAUGAGGGUUUUGUUGUGGAACACUAGGGGCAUGUCCUUGGAUAUGAAAAAAAAGCUGUUCUAAAGGAUUAAUUUGUAAAGGUAGAGUGGAUUUCUGUUUCAUUCAUGAAUCAAAGAUAGUAAUGGUUAUUGAGGACAUAGUUAGGAAGGUGUGGAGUGAUGAUAAUUUUGAAUUUUAACUUUCGUCUAUUGUAGGAAAUUCUGGAGGGGUAAUAACAAUAUGGGACAAAGUUAGGUUUGAAGUAGGUUAUUACCUUUGUUGUAACAUUUUGUUGUUGGGGAAGGAAAAUGGAUUAAAGAAGAUUUGGAUGCAACAUUGAUUAAUGGUUUUUCACCUUAUGGAAUUUCAGAUAAAAAAUCUGUACGAGAGGAACUUCUACUUUGAAAAGUACGUAUGUCUGCCCAUGGAUCAUGACGGUGAUUUUAAUGCAGUAGGAAACAAGAGCAAAAGAAGUUUUUUUCUCCCUGUGUUGGGAUGUGAAAUUGACAGGGUUUCAAAAAGUUUAUGAUUGAUUACAAUUUUGGCGUCAUGUUGGACCGUGUGGUUAGCUCGAAAUGAUAAAGUUGUCGAUAAAAUAUUGAUGAAUCUAGUUUCAGUGUUGUACCACUCUAAAAUGAAGUCUUUGAUGUGGGUAAGGGCGGUGCAUGAAGAUUGCCUAUUUUUGUAGGGUUAUUGGUGGUUUUGGCCUGUGAAAUGUAGCUCUUGCUUUAGAGGAUGAAGUGGGUUGUGGUGGGGUUUUGAAAGAUGAUAAAUGAGUGGCUUGUGCUUUAUUCUCGGGGAGGAUUGAAGAUAAGGGAUCGAAAAUGACAGAGAUAAUGGCAAUUAAAAUAGUUGUGGAUAUGUAUAUUAGGUCGUGUCAGAAGUCGCAUGUACCUUUAGUCAUCGAAUUUUGCUCGAGUGUAGCUUUGGAAUGAUUAAUGAAUAGGAAUUAUAAACUAUGGUCGUUACGAAAAUUAUUUGGGGAUAUUGACUGUGGCACUAACCAGUUGGCUCAAUUUUAGUUUGUAGAUAUUCAUAAGCAAGGUAAUGGUAUGGAGGAUGCUUUGGCGAAAGCUGGUAUAUCAAUAUCUUCUGUUUUUAAAAGCUUAGUGGUGAAUUUUGUUUAAUGCAUAAUAGUUCUAGUUGUGUGGAGGAUUUUGUCUUUGGUUGUCAGUAGCAAUACUGUUGUAUUCAUGUUGUCCUUGAAAGAUGUUGGUGGUUUCAAUGUUUUUCUCGGUUUUACAUUAUUUUUCUCGAUUGAGCAAAAAAAAAAAAAAAAAAGAAGCAACUUACUUCACAAACAUUUCUCAGAACUUUACUACGGUAUGAAUAUUGGAACAAACUAUCAUAUGUUUUUUUCAAUCUUUUGAAGACUCGGAUGCUUAGAACACAAUUAGUUUUCUUUUAAGUCCUUCAUGCCUAAACUCUCGUAUAAGCAACUGCUUAAUCAAUUACAUUUUGUAACAACCCUAAUCCAAAUAGGUGAUAAUCACAACCAAGUGGUAUUACACCUAAUUCUUUAGGGCAUCUUGAUAAUAUCAUUAAAAUGAUGGUUAUAUCUGGUUAAACCAAACAUGAUAUUCAAUAAAGGAUCAAUAUAUAAGUACCGACUAUUGUUCAGGCUUGGCUAAUUAAAAUUAACUUAACUCUGGAACACAUGUGUGGGGUAUCGAUACCUAAUAGCUUGAUGUAUUAGUACCUAGAGCUUGUAUAUCAAGACUAGACACCCAUGUUUUUCUAUUUUGGCUUUGAUGCUUUGUUGUAUCGAUACCUUAUAUCAGAGGUAUCGGUACAUAUAUAUCAAGUAUCAAUACUAAAACGAGGGAUAUCAAUACCAUAAUGUUCUCAAAAGUUCAUUUAGAUUCUUACUUUGCAAGUAUUAAUACACUUGCUUACGAUAUUGAUAUCUAUGGGCAGUGAGGCCUAAGUUAAAUAUUCUAAGGUGUCUUAUCUUGGUAAAAAACCCUAAAUAAGCUUGGGUUACACUCUAAGGAUGGUUUUUACAGUCUAAAAGGGCAAUAUAUUUAUAUUUCACUUAACUUAUGUACAACAUUAGCAUCCUAGUGGUAUAGGGUAAACUACACAAAUAGUCACUCAAUUACUAAAAAUUUUCAUUUUAAGCACCUAAAAUAAAAAGGGUUUGUAAUUUAAGCACUCAUGUUACAUAAUUCGGUCAUUUUGACAAUUCCUAUUAAAAUCACAAACAACAAGUUGACGUGGCAAUUAAAAAACUAGUAUAACAAAAAAUUUAGCCCUCAACUUUUACAUAUUAUAUCAAGUUACUCAUAAUUUUAAAAAAUAACCCUCAAAGUUUACAAAUGGUCUCAAUUUGAUCCUAAUUCUAAAAAAUUCAAAGAAAUAUAUAAAAACAAACAAAAAAAUUGUUGACAUACCAUUUUUAUCUCUUGAAUUGAAAGAAAUUCGAAUUCGCAAUUCUCGCCGGUGGUUAGGGGAUAAAAUAUUUUCAGGAACAAACAAAUCAUAAUGAUUUUUGUCUUUAUUUUCAGUCAUUUUUGAUGUCUUGCAAUAAAUUUGUAAAAAUGAUUUUUAUCAGUAUAAUUUUUUUCUUGGUAUCUUUGAUUAAUUUGGUGUUUAUUUUUAUGAACCAACAAAAUACUUAUAGUUUGAUAUAGAAUAAAUUGUCCAUCAUUUUUUACCGACAGACGAACUGGAUCAAUAACCAAUAUUCCUUUUUUCAUUAGUUCUCUAAGAGUUAAAUCCUUCUGAAUCAUCAAAAUAUCCAGAUUCAUUUCUCCCCAUUGAAUAGAGGAUAUAACAAUUUUAUUUGGAUUUAUCAAUCUAAGCAGGAGGCAAAGAAAUAAUAAUAUAUAAAAUUUAAAAAAUAUAAAUGUAACACCCCAAAUCUAGCCUAGGCGUUACAGCUAGAUUUGAAGAAGUUACCAUGAUUCACUUUGAAAAUUUAGAAAUCUUUUGGGCUUGUAGAAAUAAUGCAAGCUUUUGAUAAAAAUAAUUUCAAUUUAUCUUAAAUGAAAAUAUCUUCCUUACUUAAUUCAUUAAUUUUUGUCAAUUAAAUUAUAUUUAUAAAACGCUUAUGUUUGCAGUGGAACUCUUAGUUAAAUUCAGUUUGGAAAAUGUAGUUUGAAUUUUUGAAAAUGCAACGAUGCUGAUAGCGUAGUUAUGAUUUUAAAACGAUUAAACAAUUUAAAACAAAAAAUGGAAGUCCAAAACAAAAAUAGUCCCAAUUGUCUGAGAUAGUGCAAAGUACCAAAAUAGAAUAAACCAAGUUUUAAAUAGCACAAAUUAAUUGUGUUUAACCGAGCUCUCAUCACACUGACUUAUCCUAUGUCUGAGGAUUACCUGAGAGUCAAACAAACAGUGAAUGAGCUUACAAGCUCAAUGUGUAACUUACUAUAAUUUAAAUAGCAGAUACAAUUCUAGACAUGCAUUCAGAUACCAAUAAGAAGGAUUUCAUAAACAAAAACAGAAAUAAAUGCAUAUUAGAUAAGAUUAAAUUCCUGCCCCUAUCUGCUCACACUAUCUCCGACCAUCCCUGCACACCAAUUAUGGUAUUAAAUACCCAACCAGGCUUACACACCAAUUAGUGUUUGUAUGACACUUUCCAGAAUCUUUGCAGCCUAGCUACCAGAUUAAUGGGAGAUAUAUUUCCAAAUACAGAUAUACGUGGCUGAGCCACCAAACUAGGCAAAUAAAUUAAAUUGCCUUCAUUUCCUCUAUAAGCAUAUCUCCCACCCUAAUGCAUAUGCAAAACUAGACAAAUAUCACAUAUGUGUAUGACAUACAUGUUUUUCAUAUAAGAUUCAAAUCAUAUUUAGAACAUAACAAAUCAUGCUAUCACGUAUAACAUACUAAUCAUGUGUACAUAAAUCGUAUUUAACACUAACAGAACACCAGAAUUCAUGAUUAGUAGACAACUUUCUACCAUACGGACCUUAAGGAAGGCCUACCAUUCGAUUCUCAUGAAGAAUACGACCUUAUGAAAAAUUUCAGAAAUUGGGCCCAUACGCCUAUGUGGCCCACACGGCCUACUUGGCUAGUUCGUGUGGCCUAAAAAGCCUAACACACGGUCUUACACAUGUCCGUGUGGCCCAAACGGCCCAAUUGACCCAAAUCGUGUGGCUCACAUAGUGUGGCACACGGCCUGGCACACUGUCAUGUGGCGUCGAUAGUCUAGUUUUUCGGCUUUCAAUUGUUCGCAUUUUUUUGAGUUUUCGUUACACACCUUAAUUGUUUUUUAUGCAAAAACACCCACGAGACUUCAAGAACCUAAAAAUGUUAAUUAAUUCGCCAAAUUAACAAUGAUAAUGUAUCGAUUAAGAGGACAUAGUCCUGGAUUUUCCUAAAGUAUCAAUCAAACCCAUAUACGAAUAACCCAAAAAACCACAUAUCAGUACUAAACGCUUACCCUUGUAUGUAAACAGUAGCAAACGAACUCAAAUCGCUAGAGGAUUGUCAAAUGUUAACUGUUCCUCUCUUAUUAGAAAAACCAACAAUCAAAACUCACUUAAACAAUUAACCCGAAAAGAUAUCUCACCAAACCAAUUGAGAAAAUCGUACACCCGAAACACCAUAACCAUAAUCACUUACUCGAUAGGAGCACAAGUGAACUAUGCAGAGAAAGAGAAUCAAAAAAAAAGGAAACAAAAGCAAAAAAAGGAAGGAACAAAAAGGGAAUUAAUGUGGCCAAAGAAAGAAAUGAAAAAAAAGGGAUGAAGAAAGGGCAAGGGAAGAGACGUCAGACAUAGGAAAAAUGGGAGAAAAUUUUGGGAUUUUCCAAAUGAAAAUUUACUUUUUAAAAAAACAACCAACCACUUGCCUUACUAAACUAGGUACCCUAUUCCAUAAGAUUUCCUACAAAAUUUGAAACCCUUCCAAACUUCAUAACUUGGGCAGCUCAAACAUAAAUAGCAAAAAUAUUGCCUAUUUGCUCACGUAAGGGUUCAAAUACAUGACCAUAAGAUAAGGUAACACCUUACCAUUAAACUAGUAGAUUCAUUCUAUCACAAAUUGAGCAAAAAUAAUAUUUAAGUCACAUAAACAAAGAUAGGGAUAGGAACAAAAAUAAUUGAAUUUUCCCAAAAGUGAGAUUUGAACUCAUGACCUCAAACAAACAUUCAAGGCCCUUAACCAUUAAAGCAGAUACUUAACUAUGUCAAAAUUUAACAAACCAAAUAUUCAAAAUUUUAGGGCAUUACAACUCUCCUCCCUAAAAGAAAUUUCAGCUUCAAAAUUUCGGCUUCAAAAUUUUACCUGAUUCAAAUAGAUGUAGGUAUUGCUGUUGAAUCGAGUCCUCAGGUUUCCAAGUGGCAUCCUCAAUUCCAUGAUUCCACUAUAGAACCUUAACCAAAGAAAUGGUCUUCCUUCUCAAGACUUUAACCUCUCGAUCCAGAAUCUGAACUAGCUCUUCCUCGAAGGUCAAAUCAGGUUUUUCCUUAAUCUCCUCAAUAGAUAGAAGAUGAGAUGGAUUAGACUGAUACUGUCUCAACAAAGAGAUAUGGAACAAAUUUUGAAUACGAUCUAACUUCAGAGGUACCUCUAACUGAUAGGUGACUGACCCACAUGUUUUUGAAUCCAAUAAGGCUCAAUGAACCUAGGGCUUAACUUGUCUUUACGUUCAAACGGAAGAACUUUCUUCCGUGAAGAUACCUUAAGAAAAACUUGAUUACCCACAAAAAACUCGAUAUCUCUCUUUUUUAGAUCCGAAUAAGACUUUUGUCUAUCAGAAGCUGCCUUAAGACAAUCCCGAAUCAGUCUAACCUUGUCUUCAGUCUCAGAAACCAACUCAGAACCCAUAAUUUGCCUCUCACCCAACUUAGUCCAACACAAAGGGGUACAACACUUACGAUUAUAAAAAAUUGUAUUCUAAAAAUAUUUUAAUAAAAAUUGAAUAAAUUUUUAUAUUAUCAAAUUUUUAAUAUUUUAAAAUACAUCAAUUUUUAGUACUUAACUGGUGUUACUGGCAGCAUGUUUAUUUAACUUGCUGCCCUAUUUAAUGCUUGGAGUAAGUUUCCUUUGUCCAUCAUCAUGCACAUGCUCUUUUUUAUUUUGUAAAAAAGUUAUUUAGAAUGAUCAAACACUCAACAAUAUAUUUAGAAUAAAAAAGUUAUUAAGAUAUAUGUCUAGAGACAAAUAAUUUGUUUUGAGGUAAAAAAAUAUUUAGAAUAAUUAAAAAUAUUAUUUAAAUUCUAUAAUAUUAUUUAAAUGAUUUGAAAAAAUUAUCCAAAUUUAUCACCUGAAAAAACAUACCAAUUAUAAAUUCCAAUUGAUUGAAUUAUAAAACAAUUAUUGUAGGUGGUAUCCUUCAAAGAGACAAUAAUCAACGUUCAAGUUCUAGUAAUUAUGAUUUAUAAAAUUUUAAAAUGUUAAAAUUUCUAAAUGUCUUUUUUAAAAAUAGUAAAUGUAUUUAUCGUAAUUUUAUAAUUUAUUUCUAUUUUUAAAUAAUUUUUAUAAUUUAAAAUUUUUUUAAGAUUUUUUCAGAUGAUGAUGUUAUUGCGAUAUCAUGGUAACAUAUGAUUGGCUGUGAUAGUCAUUAGUUUUUAACCUCCAAAGUACUGAAGUAAAAACAUCAUGUUAGAGAUUGAAAUGAACCAAAUAAGUAAGAAAAAUAGUAUACACCAAACAGUAUUUGCUAAAUUCCAAUCUUUUCAUUGGUUGAUUUGGAAGAUAUUUCUUUGGUUAAAGAAAUUGUUGUAGUUAAUUAAUAUGGACUUAUAAGUGGGAAUGGAUCUAAAAGUCGGUGAGAUUUGCAUUUGAAGCGGCCCCUAACAUUUUAUUUCCAAAGCAAUCAUAAUUAAGAUAAGACUUGGGUGGUUUGAAGUUGAAAACUUGGGAUUUUUUUUCCUUUCGUGAUUGCAAGGUAAGCCACGUAUCACACUCAUGAAAUAAAUGGUUGGCUUGCACUUUUUCAAGCUAAGGACGUAGGUCUCAUAUACUAAACAAGUCUUUUAAUAUACUAAACAAGUCUUUUAACGUUGUCAUACUUAUACUUUUAUUACCCCAAAUAAACUCUAUUACUUUAAUUGAUAUCAUAAUCUUUUAAUUUGUAUUCAAAUAAGCUUUUAACCUUUAAUUUGUACCUAAAUGAAAUGCUUAAUAUAAAUCAAUGUUUCAUUUUAAGUAAGGGUUAAUUUAAACAUAAAUCAAAGUAUAAUAAGGGCAUUGUAGGAUAAUGAAGGUCUAGGGGCUUAAUAACAAAAGUAAACUAGUUCAAGGAAUCUAUUAAUAAUUUAGCAUAUAUAUAGAGAGAGAGAGAGAGAGAUGGCUGCUAAAAGGCCUUAUUACUAAAUCAGUGUUUCAUAGGUUGAUUUUCGCAGCAGUUUUGGUUAAUAAAGAGAGUAAUGGUGGUCCAACACAUGCCGCAUGCUGACAUUUCCUUUUCAAUACCUAAUUAACCAGUCAAGCAAAAGAAAAUGCAGCCCUUAAUAUUCCUUUUUGUUUUUUUUUUGGUACAAGCAGCCCUAAAUAAUUAAUGACUUUUUUAAAAAAGAAAAAGUCAUUCAGACAAGGCUUCUGGACUUCGUUAUCUCACAAGCCAGUUGUCGAAUUUUAUUACAAAUUAUUUGAGGGAAAAAAAAAACCAAAAUGUUUACAUGUUUCUCAUAUACUUAUUUCAUAAUUUUGCUCAACGGAAGUAAACAGUAUACAAUAACGAUUGACAAAAAAAAAAAAAAAAAAGAAGAUAAUUGCGACUCAUUUUUUACGGUUUCCAAAGAUCGAAAAUGUGUUCUUAAAUUUAAACAACAUGAAUAUAUAUACGUAUAAAAAUAUAAAUAUGGGGUAGAUACAUUGCUUAUGCAUGGAUGGAUAGACUUGAACCAAAAAAGAAAAAAAGAAAGAAAAGGAAUGAAUGAAGUAUCAACGUCAGGAAAAGUCAAGUUCAUUAAAUAUUAAUUAUAUAUUUUGUCAUUAAUUAGAUGAUGAUAUGGGAUUAACAAUAUAUUUAAAAUAAUUGAUGCGGUAUAUAAAAUUUAUUAAAAAGCCUUAAACAAAUGAAACGGACAUCAUUGGAAGAUAAUGCAGGGAUUAAAUUCGUCAAGGAAAACCGCCAUCAUAUAAUUUAAUUAUUUAUUUCAUACAAGUAAAAAAUAGGCAAAAAUAAAAUAUCAAAGCAAUGAAAUGCAUGUAUGUGUGGGUGUAUCUAUAUAAAGAGGUAGCUCACUUGUAAUGUGGAAAUCAGAAACAAUCCAAUUAUCCAAACGAUGGCUAUCUUUUCUUCAUCCAUGGCUGCUAUGCUCAUUCUAGGGCUCCUCACUGCAAACUUGGAUCCUACUGGUUAAUUUCUUUCUUUCUUUCUUUCUUUAUAUAUAUAUAUAUAUAUAUAUGUUGGGAGUAAAACUACGGUGGAGACUCAUAUAGUAAGAGUAAGAUUGUAUUUUGUCUCAUCUAUUAAAAAAUAACAAAUUAUUCUUUGUGCGUUAGAUUAAAGAGCAAAUUGUUCAUUUUUGUUUAAAAUUUCAUACAAUGACUGAUUUUUAAUAGUUAAAAUGAAUGAAACUUUAAAAAAAAUGAUCAGUUUACUCUUUGGUUCAAUGUACAUUGAUUAAUUAGUCCAUUUUUUUGAAUAGAAGAGACAAAAUGCAAUCCAACUCUUAGUAUAGAACUACUUUUACCGGUAUAUAUAUAUAUAUAUUCAAAGAGUCUAAUGUAAAUAACGGUUUAAUACCAAAUGAAGGAGCUCUAUAGCAUAGUAAUUUCAUGCUUUAUUCUAUUAUAUGUUACUAAAUACCCGUGAGCAGCGGUAUGGUACGUGUAAGAGCGUAUUUUAUGUUGAUCCUAAUAUUGCCAUUAGGGUUUGGUUUCGAAGGUUUGAAUUUUAGUAGGGAUAAGUAAUAAGUUGAAGAGUAUGCUAAAAAGAAAGUAAAUGCUUAUUUAGGAUUAAUUAUGAGUUUGCUCUCUCUACUUUCCAAAAACUAAAAAGUUAGUCCCUAUACUUUAUUCUUUUAGAGUUUGGUUCUCAUAUACUUUAUGACAAUUAAAAAGAUAGUCCAAUUUAAUAACACUAUUAAAAUUUGCCAUUAAAUCACUGAUUUUGAAAUCAAUAGUUCAGCAAUUUAUAUACAAUAAAUUAACAAAAAUCAACAGUUCAAGAUUAUAGUUUUGCCAAUAACUGGCUUAAGGUGUUGUUUGAUAAACUGAAAAUUUAGGUGUUGAAAAAUUAAGUAUUGAAUUUUUACUACUAAAUUUUAUAAGUGCUUAAUUUAUAUUAGAAAAUUGUUUAGUAAAUUAGUAAAAUAUAAAUACAGAAUAUAAUUAUAUUGUCUGUUAAAAGUAAAUACUUAUUUUUUUAAAAAUAAUUUAUUUAUUAAUUUUAAUCUUAUUAAUAUAAUAUUUUAUAUUAUUUUGAAUUUUUUUAAAUUUAAAUAUAAUAAUGUGAAUAUCUCACUUUUUUAAAAGGAUAAUUUAUUUUAAUUUUUAAUAGAAUAAAAUAAACUUAAUAUUUUCUCUAUUAAGUGAUAAGUAGCUACCUACCUACUUAUCUUAUUCAACACUAUUUUGUUUAAAAUUUUUUAUUAAGUAAAAAAUAAAUUAAAACCAUUAGCAAACACAUUUAAAAUAUUAAAUGUUGAAAAUUUUCAUUUUCAAUUCAUUUUAUUGAAAAUGAAAAUUUUCAAUAGUUUAUCAAACACACCCUAACUUUUCACUUCUUGUAAAGUAAGAAGAGCAAAUUUGGACAAAUUAAAGUUAAGGGACUAGUUUCUCGAUUUUCAUAAAAUGGAGGGAUCAAUUUAAAAUUAAACAUAUAUAUUUGUUGUUUUGUAAGAUUGUAAUGAAGCUUUUAACUAAUUAGAAGAGUUGUAAAUGAAUGCAGUUGCGCAAAUUGGUGUUUGCUAUGGGAUGCUUGGCAACAAUCUCCCAAAUGCAAGGGAAGUCAUCAAUCUUUACAAAUCAAACAACAUCAAGCGAAUGAGACUCUACGAUCCAAAUCAACAAGCAUUACAAGCUCUUAGAGGCUCAAACAUUGAAGUAAUUUUAGGUGUUCCGAAUGAUCAACUUCAAAACCUUGCUAACCCUUCCAAAGCACAAUCAUGGGUUCGAUCAAAUGUUGUAGCCUAUUGGCCAAGUGUCCGGUUUCGAUACAUUGCUGUUGGGAACGAAGUCCCUCCAUCAUCUUCAUUAGCUCGAUUUGUGUUGCCUGCCUUAGUGAAUGUAUUCAAUGUGGUUCGAUCGGCUGGUUUGGAGAGUCGAAUCAAGGCUCAAUCACCAUCGAUAUGACUUUGAUUGGUGUCUCAUACCCUCUGUCGGCUGGUGCAUUUCGUGGGGACGUUAGGUCAUAUCUAGACCCUAUCAUAGGCCACUUAGCAUGGGCUAGAACACCAUUGCUUGCCAACAUUUAUACUUACUUUAGCUAUUCAGGCAAUCCA